UUUGACCUCGAAUCAGGUAGGGUUACCCGCUGAACUUAAGCAUAUCAAUAAGCGGAGGAAAAGAAACCAACAGGGAUUG
rnacentral:rRNA from 1 species